GCUGUAACUCUAGCCCUGUUAUGUAUUUUUGACACAAUUAAAAAUUUAAAAUAAAUAUUGAUACUAAGGCCUAAUUGCUUCAAUCUUCUAAUGUAUGUGAUUUGAGAUGGAGCUCUGGUAUUUAAUAAUUUAAAAAGCCUCUCAGAUGAUUCCAUAGUGUAAGGUCAGGCACCAGUGACCAAAAGGAGGUAGAUUAAAAGCUGCUGAACAAGGCUUUAUUAAAAUUUGCUCCCUGUUGAGACCCUCCAGUCCAACAGAGCUGGUCUGGGGGAAGUUCCAUCCAGGCUCAGCCAGGCUGGAAUUUUAUCUGGCUUAGGGCAGAAAGAGAUGACUUAGGACAGGAAAGGGAGGUUUUUAGGGUCUCUCGUCCUCCUGGGGGGAUCUUGCUGAGCUCCAUGUCCUUCCAGGACUAGUCAGGAGACCCCACUGAUUGACAGGUGGUUAUCACUACUUGUCUGUCGGCACCUGAUUGGUUGUUCUUUAGCCCCUCCCCCCCCAGGUUGCCUGGUGUUUUGUUCCCUUAGCCACCUCAAACUGACCUAACACAUAGCACAAAGAAACACUGAAAUAAACAUAAGAACAUAAGGAAUUAUAAGGCAAGUUAAAAGUAGAUGAUUUUACAUGAUUCCAUAAGCAGUUUCAUUCUAGGAGAUUAAAUAUUCUUUGGCCCAGUCCCUAUUGUAAUCUGGAAUGCAAAGAGAACUUCCGGGAAGGACGAUGAUGCAGUAAAAAAGCCUUUACCAGAAUCUGGCACCUUGAUCUUGGUCUUCUUCAUCUCUAACUUUAAGAAAUAAAUUCACUUAUUAAAAAUUA